CCUACGGGAGGCAGCAGUGGGGAAUAUUGCACAAUGGGGGAAACCCUGAUGCAGCGACGCCGCGUGAGUGAAGAAGUAUUUCGGUAUGUAAAGCUCUAUCAGCAGGGAAGAAAGAAAUGACGGUACCUGACUAAGAAGCCCCGGCUAACUACGUGCCAGCAGCCGCGGUAAUACGUAGGGGGCAAGCGUUAUCCGGAUUUACUGGGUGUAAAGGGAGCGUAGACGGCGAUGCAAGUCUGAAGUGAAAGGCGGGGGCCCAACCCCUGGACUGCUUUGGAAACUGUAUGGCUGGAGUGCAGGGGAGGUAAGUGGAAUUCCUAGUGUAGCGGUGAAAUGCGUAGAUAUUAGGAGGAACACCAGUGGCGAAGGCGGCUUACUGGACUGUAACUGACGUUGAGGCUCGAAAGCGUGGGGAGCAAACAGGAUUAGAUACCCUAGUAGUC
rnacentral:rRNA from 1 species